GAUGAACGCUGGCGGCGUGCCUAAUACAUGCAAGUCGAACGCGCAGCGAAAGGUGCUUGCACCUUUCAAGCGAGUAGCGAACGGGUGAGUAACACGUGGAUAACCUGCCUCAAGGCUGGGGAUAACAUUUGGAGACAGAUGCUAAUACCGAAUAAAACUUAGUAUCGCAUGAUACAAAGUUAAAAGGCGCUACGGCGUCACCUAGAGAUGGAUCCGCGGUGCAUUAGUUAGUUGGUGGGGUAAAGGCUUACCAAGACGAUGAUGCAUAGCCGAGUUGAGAGACUGAUCGGCCACAUUGGGACUGAGACACGGCCCAAACUCCUACGGGAGGCUGCAGUAGGGAAUCUUCCACAAUGGGCGCAAGCCUGAUGGAGCAACGCCGCGUGUGUGAUGAAGGCUUUCGGGUCGUAAAGCACUGUUGUAUGGGAAGAAAUGCUAAAAUAGGGAAUGAUUUUAGUUUGACGGUACCAUACCAGAAAGGGACGGCUAAAUACGUGCCAGCCGCCGCCGUAA
rnacentral:rRNA from 1 species